GGGAUCCAAAGAGUAGGUGUGACAUGUUAUGCAGUCUUAUUACAGUCGGUCGUUCCUAGUGUUACGAAGGUUGCCCAUGUCCCCCUCCCCAGGGAGAGUUACAAACCAUUACUGUUGCCAGGCUGCUAAUGAGAGAGAAAGAGAUGGAACAAAACAUUUGUUUUGAAUAACAGAAUAUAUUGCAUUUUACUGCAGUUCCAGUGGACUGGAACAUUUGCUUCAGACAAGGGUGAGAUAGCACCGGGGGAGCGAGACCAUAUUAUGACUCCUGUAAGACUCACGGCUCGGGAGAGGGCUGUUUACUUGGUACUAUUCUGUUCAUUAAAAUUCCUCAGUGGACAGCCGGAGUGGCUGGUUUGAUGGGCUAAGCCAUUCAAAACUGAUUGACACCUGAGACCCUGUGAGUAGGGAUAAAAGUGAGGUCUGGGGAGACACCCCUCAGACACACCAGGAGACACACUAGUGAGCACUGCUUGAGUGUUGGAACCCAUGUGAAAGUGUGGGGGCAUCAGAGACCGAACAAAGGAUUGGUCAAUUUUAACUCACAAUGUUUAAAGCGAGGCCGGUGGGGGCUUGUGUGUGUGUGUCCACCCUUGCCUAGGUGACGAGUCCACCAUAAGAAGAACGGUCUAGCUAAAGGACAGAGGGGUCAUACCUGAAUGGCCACAACAACACAUCGACGGAUCAAGAACGUAAAGGAAGGUUUGAAUGACUGUAGCUGUCACUGUUUGUUUGCCCCCGCUCUCUCUCUCUCUCUCUCUCUCUCCCUCCAAUGAUUACAACAAAAGAACCAACAACUACCUCAGCCUACAUGAACUGAUCUGAACUUUAUACUUUCCCAUGAUAAUUCCUUAUCCCCUAGACAACGAUAGAGCUUGUUUAUUAUUGAUUAUUAUUACACCCACACUUUUAGGUUUAGUUAUUGCUAAUGUGUAUUAUCUGUAUAUUUGCAUUGUUAAUAUUGAUUUGUAUAUUUUACUAAUAAACACUGUUUUGAAAAUAGUACCAGACUCCAACGGACACUUCUAUCUUUGCUGGUAAGACACCCAGUUACGGGGUACGUAACACUAGGCUUUUCAGAACGUUCCAGUCUCUAGCCUCCUCAUGGACCAUACUGCCCUAUAGCACCAUGAUCUCUGAUUUGGAUUAAUAAUAGAAUAUAUUGCAUUUUACUGCAGUUCCAGUGGACAUCUGCAGUAGGAACUAAACCAGUUAUUUAUUCAAUUACUAUAUUUAAUCAGCUUGGCAGUUCCUUGAAUAUUUUAAUUGCAAUGUAGUUUAAGAGGGUAACAAGAAAUUUAAAUUUAAGAAAUUUACUUGUAACUUCCCCAUAGUUGACCUAUGCUGCCAAUUUUGUAAAAUUUCUCCCCAUUAACACAGAUUUAAAGGAACAGGACAUAGCUUUACUUGUUCUGUUCCUUUAGAAGUUGUUUGAUAAGGGCUCCUGCUCUUUAAUCAGCAAUGUCAGUUUUUUUUCUCUGUUCUACUUUUGCACAGGAUUCCUGCUAUUUUUAAAAUAAUGUAUUAAAUAAUUUGGCUUCCUUUCGAGAACUAAGGACCUCUAAUGUUAAUUCCUUGUCCUUUGUUUCACAGAAUCCUGGUUAACCCCUUCCGGACCAGAUGCAGCGAUUCAGAUCGAGGGGUUUACUACACACCAUCAGGAUAGAUCUAUAGAGUCUCUCAAAAGCAGAGGUGAAGGAGUAUGCCUCAUGAUCAACACUUCUUGGUGCACAAAUAUAUCAGUGCUGUCCCAAUUCUGCUCUCCAAAACUGGAAUAUCUAGCAGUUAAGUGUCCUUUUUACUUACCAUGGGAAUUCUCUGGGGUCAUUCUGGUAGCAGUUUACAUUCCACAGGCCAAUGUCAAGCAGGCUUUAGAUGAUCUGAGCAAUGGGAUCAACAUGCACGAAACAGUGCAUCCUAAUGCUUUCACCAUCACUUUGGGAGAUUUUAACAAGACCAGUCUGAAAAAAAAUCACUAAGCAAUUACCAUCAACAGAUCACUUGCACCACCAGAGGACGGACACAGCACACUGGACCAUUGUUACACCACCAUCAAGAAUGCCUACUGUGCUAUUCCAUGCCAGCGUCUGAGAAGAAUAAUGUGGGCUGCCUCAAUGACUGUCGCCAGGUAGCAUUCACAUCGACAGUGAUGAAAUGCUUUGAGAGAUUGGUCAUGACUAGGCUGAACUCCUGCCUCAGCAAGGACCUGGACCCAUUGCAAUUUGCCUAUCGCCACAAUAGGUCAAUGGCAGACAAUCUCAAUGGCUCUCCACACGGCUUUAGACCACCUGGACAACACAAACACCUACGUCAGGAUGCUGUUCAUCGACUAUAGCUCACCAUUUAAUACCAUCACUCCCACUAUCCUGAUUGAGAAGUUGCAGAACCUGGGCCUCUGUACCUCUGUCUACAAUUGGAUCCUCGAUUUCCUAACUGGGAGAUCACAGUCUGUGCGGAUUGGUGAUAACAUAUCCUCCUCACUGAUGAUCAACACUGGCGCACCUCAGGGGCGUGUGCUUAGCCCACUGCUCUACUCUCUAUAUACACAUGACUGUGUGGCUAGGCAUAGCUCAAAUACUAUCUAUAAAUUUGCUGAUAAUACAACCAUUGUUGGUAGAAUCUCAGGUGGUGAUGAGAGGGCGUACAGGAGUGAGAUAUGCCAACUAGUGGAAUAGUGCUGCAGCAACAACCUGGCACUCAAUAUCAGUAAGACGAAAGAGCUGAUUGUGGACUUCAGGAAGGGUAAGAAAAAGGAACACAUACCAAUCCUCAUAGGAGGAUCAGAAGUGGAGAGAGUGAACAGUUUCAAAUUCCUGGAUGUCAAGAUCUCUGAGGAUCUAACCUGGUCCCAACAUAUUGAUGUAGUUAUAAAGAAGACAAGACAGUGGCAAUACUUUAUUAGGAGUUUGAAGAGAUUUGGCAUGUCAACAAAUACACUCAAAAACUUCUAUAGUUUUACUGUGGAGAGCAUUCUGACAGGUUGCAUUGCAGUCUGGUACAGAGGGGCUACUGCACAGGACUGCAAGAAGCUGCAGAAGGUUGUAAAUCUAGAGAACUCCAUCCUGGGUACUAGCCAACAGUGUACCCAGGACAUCUUUAGGAAGCGGUGUCUUAGAAAGGCAGCAUCCAUUAUUAAGGACCUCCAGCACCUUAAUAAUGUCCUUUUCUCACUGUUACUAUCAGGUAGGAGGUACAGAAGCCUGAAGGCACACACUCAGUGAUUCAGGAACAGCUUCUUCUCCUCUGCCAUCCGAUUCCUAAAUGGACUUUGAAGCUUUGGGCACUACCUCACUUUUUUAAUAUACAGUAUUUCUGUUUCUGCACAUUUUUAAAAUAAUCUAUUCAAUAUACAUAAUUGAUUUACUUGUUUAUUUAUUAUGUUUUAUUUUAUUAUUUUUUUCUCUCUCUGCUAGAUUAUGUAUUGCAUUGAACUGCUGCUGCUAAGUUAACAAAUGUCAUGUCACAUGCUGGUGAUAAUAAACCUGAUUCUGAUUCUGAUAGUUCUACAAGUUUGAUUCUUGCUAACGGUUCAUAUAUGAGAAAAGUGUUCCAUUAGCAUCCUGGUCAAUAACACAUGCAGCCAGAAUCUCUGCCAUCAAGGAUUUCUUCUCAAAGCUGGAGUCCAAAGUCAGAUUUGGCAGAGCAUGGGGUUGUCAAAAGAUAACUGGACACCCAUCCAAGAGGCCAUCACAGCUCACAGUCUUGAAAAGAUUUGUGUGACUCCAAUUUAGCAUUUAGGAAUACAUCAGGCACAACACUUCAUAAAAAUAGACCAGUUAAAUAACAGACAAAAAACUUAACGAAGCAUAGAAAAGGUACAAUGAUGGAGAGAGAACAUGUUGAUGAUGGAUCAUGAUAACUUGAGGAAAUAUUUGCCUAAAGUCUCACUCUUUUUGAAUUUUAAUGUUGGUUUCUAAACUUCUGACUCAAAAGGAAUUUGAAGGGUGUUCAUAUACAACUGUUCUGGAUGAUUCUAACAGGAAAUCAUAAAAUGUUUAUGGAACCUCUGUACGUUUGUGGUACUGAAUUAGCAAAUAUGGUACCAUGGUAUGAAACAAAAACAUUUAAACCAUCAGUGAACAAUUUUUUUUUCAUUAAUAUUACUUCAGUAUUUACGAUUUUAAUAAAACUUCAGCUUUACCCACAGAGCAAAAAGUGUUUGUGACCCACAGAAUCAUCUGAUUGGGGAUACAAUGACAAUCUAGCCCGCUAGAAGCUAGAGAACCAGACAACAAUGUCAAUGGAAUAUAGCGGUGUUCUUCUCUCUUAGAUAUAUUCUAUUUAUUUUUCAUCAUAAUAGUAUUUUGAAACUGUAGCUUUUUGCUCUCUUUUGCCUAUCAUUUGGUUAGCGAAAAGCAUCGAGCAUUGGUAUUCUCCCAGAAAGGAAGAUAUCCAUUUUUAUCCAGGAUUAGAGAAUGACUGCUUGGACAGUCCAGUGCAUCUGCAGAUGUGAUCGUCCCACUAUUCAGGGCAUUUACAAAGAUGGAUGUGUAGAAAGGGCCUGAAGGAUCAUUGGGGACCUCAGUCACCCCAACCACAAACUGUUACAGCUGCUACCAUCUGGGAAGCGGUACUGUAGCAUUAAAACCAGGAUCAACAGGCUCCGAGAUAGCUUCUUCCACCAGCCCAUCAGACUGAUUAAUUAGUGAUACAAUUGUAUUUCUAUUUUACAUUGACUGUCCUGUUGUGCAUACUAUUUAUUAUAAAUUACUAUAAAUUGGCGAAUUGGAGCUAGCGCCUUGGCUUGGGGCAAAUGGUGGCGGGCUGCUCUUUUUGUUCUAAUUCGUCAAACUGAUGGGACAAGGCAUCUGGUUUCUGGUUCUUUGACCCCAGUUGAUAGGUCAGGAUGAAAUUAAAGCAGCUAAAGAACGAAGACCACCUGGUCUGCCUGGAAUUCUGCCUCUUGGCCUCCUGAAUAUAAGCCAGGAUCUUGUGGUCUGUCCAAAUGUUAAAAGGAUUCUUGGCCCCCCCUAGCCAGUGACAUCAUUUCUUCAAGGCUAACUUAACUGUAACUUAUCUCUGCCACGGAUAGCUGCCUGGAGAAGAAUGCACAUGGGUGCAGUUUGCUGUUCAAGGGUGAUUGUUGAGACACCGCUGCACUCACUCUGAUGUCUGAGACAUCCACCUCCAUGAUGAGGGGAAGGUCCAGGUUAGGAGGAACCAAAAUGGGAGCUGAUAUGAACCGCUAUUUAUGCUCUGCAAAAGCGGUCUCCACUUCAGUGGUCCUGACAAAAGGGCUCAUGGAUUUCUUAGUUAGUGCCAUCAGCAGAGCUGCCACUGAGCUGAACUUUUUGAUGAACUUCUGGUAGAAGUUCCCCAGUCCCAGAAAUUGUUAGACUUGUUUGACAUUGGAUGGUUGUGGCCAAUCUCUGACUGCCUGGAUCUUGGUAGGGUCCAUCUUGAGAUCAUGAAACCCAAAAAUGAAAUGGUUUUGCAUGAAAUUCAGACUUUUCCAGCUUAACAUAAAGUCCAUGGUCUAGAGGGCUGUUAAGGAUAUCUCUUUCAUGGUUGAUGUGCUCCUCCAUGGACUUCGAGAAUAUUAAGAUAUCAUCCAAGUACAAACGUUCAUAGACAAAAGCGUACUUAUGGAGAGUAUCUCUGAGAACAUCAUUAAAAAAGGUCUGAAAGACUGCUGGAGCAUUCACAACACUGAAGGAUAUAACCAGGUAAUCAUAGUGCCCUGUUGGUGUAUUGAAUGCAGCUCUCCACUCUUCACCCUCCUUUAUAAGGACCAAAUUGCAGAUCGAGCUUUGUGAAUACUCUCACCCCUUGGUGCAACUCAAGGCCAUAUUCAUGAGUGGCUAACGAUUCUUGGCCGCUAUGCGGUUUAAUCCCUAUAAUCAAUGCAUGGCCACAGGCUCCCACUUUUGUUUUGUAUGAUAAAGAAGCCUGCGCCUGCUAGUGAGAUAGAGGGCUGAAUGAAGCCCGUGGCAAGAAACUCCUUUAUAUACUCUUCCAUUGCGUGUCUCUCUGGGUCUGAUAGUGUGUACAAUCUUCCCCAUGGAGGACAAAUACCAGGCAGCAGGUUACAGCACAGUCGUAGGGUCUGUGCAGUGGAAGAGUCGAGGCCUUUUGCUUGCUGCAGACCUCCUCCAAGUCCUUGUAGAUGUAAGGGAUUUGAACUGGUUUGGCUGUUGCAGGCUCCUCUGGACCUUUCUUUGAGCAUGACUCCUGAGGCUUCUUAGGUGGCAGGGGUGAAUUGACAGACCUCAGAGUCUCCUCCCUAGGUUCACAGAAUCCACGCGCAGAAACAGUGGCUAAAUCACACCCCAAAUCCUAGUCUGUAUCCUCAGACAAUGGCAGCAAGGUAUUACAGAUGGUCCUUGCCUUCCUGGGUAGAGGUUUCAAGGAUCUUCAUAUAGGAGUCUUCCCUUUAGACAGGACCGGGCGGAUGGAAUCCUUAGCCUUCAGGUUACCUCACACUGGUCCGUCCCCUUGCUGGUUGUUGGCUUCAGGAGAGUCUAAGGUUCUGAAGACUAUGCUGCAAAUACGACCUCUUACAAUAACUGGGCCAAGCAAUGAUUCUCCCCUUCCUCCAGACUAUGGAUGGGUAUGCUGGGUCAGUCAAGAGUACCCGAGGAUCAGUAGUAUGAGUAGUGAGUCAAUGAUGUAGAAACUACUAUCCUCUAGAUAAUCCUUCCUCCUCAACUGCAAAACCACAAAACCACAGUCUAUUGCCGGAUCUGCCCAGAACCUAGUGACCAGCCAUCCAAGACAGUUGAGGAUAUGGACUCAUUCAGCUCUCCCAGCAGUGUCAUUCCAGCCAGCAGUCCCUACAUCCAGAAAAUUACCCACUGCCCCAGAGUCCACAAAAGCUUCCACCUGCCUCAAGUCUUUACCCCACACGAACUCCGCCUUCAGCACGAAACCAGAAUUCAUGGGAUUGGGUGUAGUGGCUGUUACCAUCACAGUCCUCCCGGUACUGGACAGUCUUAGCAGUUCUCCAGGCAGCUGCAGCUUCAGACGUCUGACGGAGUCCCGAGCAGGAGAUGGGCUGGGCAUGAUCCGAGAUCGGGGUGGGAUGGCCUCUUAUACUCUGCCAGAUGAUUGUCAAGGCAGAUGGACUGGUUGAUCAGAACUCCCAAGAUGAGGGCACCCUUUUGUUCAUCCUGGUGUCCGUGGCUGUAUAGUGUGGCAAAGGCUUCUCCAUACCAACCACUCUCUUGUGCCAAAGAUGGAAACUCAAUGCAUAGUUGGCCGCUGACCGAAUUCCCUGAUGCAGCUUCAUCAGAAUGUCUGAGCCUCUGUUAGCUCAGAGGGAUGAUAGAAUAUCUUUCUCAUAGUGGCCAUGAAUUCCUCUGAAUACACACAGAUCUCCAAUCUUCGGUCCCAAUGGGCGGUGGCCCAGGCGAGGGCUCACUCCGUCAGGACAGAGACCAUGAAGGCCACUUUUCCAUGCUCUGAAGGGAACAGGGUCGGCUGGAGUUUGAACAUCAAUGAGCAUUGAAUGAGGAAGCCACAGCAAAAGCCUGGGUCUCCAUUAAAUCUCUUUGGGGUUGGAACGUGUACCGGCUUCACAAAGCGAGUGACAGCCUCACUUGAGCGACUCUGGCAUCCUCGUUGUGAUAGCUGGUACACAGAGGCCUGGAGGUCGUGUAUCUCCAGAUUCUGUCUGGAAAUCCUCUCGUCACAGGAGAUGGUAGACUCUUGAUACUCCACAGGAUCUACGUCGGCUCAAUCGUACUGUGAGGAGAUACCUUGACGAGGACAAUUUGGACCCAAGUGCUGGAGUAUCCGAGGCUGGAAUCGAGAUGCGGUAUAAAGCUGGAAUGAGAACAGAACAUAGAUGAAACGCUGGACAAUAUCUCUAGUUAGGCUUUUAAUUGAACACUGAAUCUCAGUUUAGGUCCUCUUUAAAUACUCAAUUCUUCCCAUCCAAACAUGAUUGCCAAUUAGUGGGACUGUCCUGAACCCUUAAAGGGGGCCAUGUCAGCUAUCCAUACUCUGGAGAGUUUGAGCAACUAAAUCCUGGAAACUGGCGUGAUUGGGAGCUUCUCGUAACAUCAGGAAAAGAUUAAUAUAUCAAUGAACUAUGUUAACCAAUCAGGAUAUGAGUUACUGAACUAACUUUGUGAUGAUUGCUUAUGGGGUGUCAAUAGCUUUGAUUGGAUGAACUAUUUACUUUGAACAAAAUAGGACUGGGAAUUUUUUCAAGAACAGCUAAUAGGACCAUGUUUACUUCUGGCAAAAAUAUUGGCUUGGCUUUUGCUGGCAAUUCUGUAUGGAACUGCAGGCAUUUCUCAGUGUAAGUUCUGCCAAGUUUCAGAACUCCCACACAAAUGAGGAAGUCUUAAACUCACUGGGCGAGCUGUGUGAUUUCCCAGCUACACUGCACUGCCGCUGUGGGACACGCAUGGAAUCCAACAGCAGAGCAGGAACUUGUUAUGAAAUUGCAGUAUUUACACUGGGGUGUGUGCUCUUGGAUCCGGUAUCAGGUUGGACUGGAGGUUGCUGGAGCUGAUUGCUUUCAAUGGGGAUUGUAUGGCUGUGGAGAAGAAAGGCCUUGCUGCUGCUGCUGCUGGGGACUGUUUCUCCCUUGAUAACCACAACUCAAUGUGCCUCCACCAUCCUGUUAGACUCUUCCUGGUGAAGUGAGAAUGUGCCAAUGUGACUGAAGAGCCAGUGCUAUGUUAUCUGCUCACAAAUACUAAGGAUCAGCACCCCAUUAGUGGGCAUCCCAUUUUUAAGGUCUGCAAAGGUCUGAGUAGCAACAUGGCAAGAACUAGUGUUUCUCUGUUGACUACAACAAAAGUCAGGCCAUUUGUAGCCUCUGCCUGCUGAGAGCUCCAAACCACUAUCACUGCUUUCACCAAAGCACAUCAGAGGAUGGGCCUUAAACUAAAUAUCUGCAUGGAAAAAUCCUUCACCAAUCUGCUCUGUGACAAUCAAAAUUUCAUGGAAAGACCUUGGGAAACAUUCCAUAUUUUAGGAAUCUCCUCUCAGCAAAGGAAGACAUCAGAGAUGAGACUCACACCAUUUGCAGUGCAAUAGCUUUGCCUUGGGAAAAUUGAACAAAAGGGUAUUUUAAAAUUAAGGUUUCCAGCUGGCAUAAACCAAUGAUCCCUGCCAUCCUAUAUACUCCAGAAACCCAGGAUAUCCCUUGCAGGCAUACCAAUUCAUUGGAAAAAUACAACCAACGUUGCUUCCACAAAAUCUGCCCAAUUCACUAGGACAUAUGAACCACUGCCAGUGUUCUCUCCCAGACCAAUGUCUUCAAUAUCGAGGCUUGAGUACACUCAGUCAGCUAGGUUGUGCAGCUCAAGAUACUCUAUUUUAAGCCCUCAGUAUCUGUCUAGGAACAGAUCAUUGGCCAGACAGAGGAAAGAUUCAAGGACUUGCAUAAAGUCUCCUCAAAGUUCAGAGAAAUAUUAGAGCAAUAACACAAGUCAAAAGGCUAUACAUGCUUACAUGCAGAUCAAUGCACAGCUUGUAAGUACGAUUCUUAUUUUGGAGUUCUUAGUGGUGACUUACCAAUAGAAAUUCAACAUAAUAAACGACAUCAAAAUUAUUAAGCAUCUACACUGGAUUAAACACAUAGAAUCCACAUUUCAUUUGGAUAAUUAAGAAUUAGGCAAGCUGGCAUGCCUUGACAAAGCAGACAAAAAUGAAGGUUUAGAGUUUUAUUAAUAUGCAAGAGAAACUUCUGACAGCAUACACAUCAAAUUCAAAGUCAUAUUAGUAUUACAUUAACACAUAAUGCUUCUUUAUAUGCGGUGGAUACAAAAUCAGUAGUUCCACAUUUACCUUAUCCUUAUUUACUCAUAUCAACUACAUCAAUAAUAAUUGAAGAACUACCAUUCAUAUUUUAAAGUAAAAUUAUUGGAAAAUCAUACUUACCCUUUCUCCCUAAUCAAAACUGAGAGUAACAAAGCUGUACUUUAUCAAUUCAUUUUCAGGCAUUGCCUUUUGAAGGUGUCCUGGAUGGGGGAAGGCUAGUGCCCAUGAUGGCUAAGUUUAAAUUCUCUGCAAUUUUUUCCGAUCCUGUGCAGUGGCCUCUCCAUACCAGAUGGUGAUGCAGUUAGAAUGCUCUCUCUGGCUGAUUUGUAGAAAUCUGCAUGUCUUUGGUGACACAACGAUUCUCCUCAAACUCCUAAUGAAAUAUAGCCGCUGUUGUGCCUUCUUUGUAAUUGCAUCAAUAUGUUGAGCCUGUGAUAGAUCCACAGAAAUUGACACCCAGGAACUUGAAACUGCUCAGCCUCUCCACUUCUGAUCCCUCGAUGAGAACUGGUGUGUGUUCCCUUGACUUACCUUUCGUGAAGUCCACAAUCAAUUCCUUGGUCUUAAUGAUGUUGAGUGCAAUGUUGUUGCUGUGACACCACUCAACAAACUGAUCUAUCUCACUCUUGUAUGCCUCACUCCUGAAAUUCUGCCAACAAUAGUUGUGUCGUCAGCAAUUUUACAGAUGGUGAUUCAGCAGUACUCAGCCACACAGUCUAUAGAGAGAGUAGAGCAGUGUGCUAAGCAUGCAUCCUUGAGGUGCAUCAGUGUUGACUGUCAGCAAGGAGGAGAUGUUAGUUCCAAUCCACACAGAGCACGGUCUAUGAGGAAAUCAACGAUCCAUUUGCAGAGGGAGGUACAGAGGCCUAGAUUUUGGAGCUUGUUGAUUAGAACCAAGGGUAUGACUGUGUUGAAUGUUGAGCUGUGAUCAAUAUACAGCAGCCUGACAUAGGUAUUACUAUUAUCCAGGUGAUCCAAGGCUGAGUGGAGAGCCAGCAGAGAGACUGCAUCGCUGUAAACCUAUUGCGACAAUAGGUAAAUUGCUGCAGUCUGGGUCUUUUCUCAGGCAGGAGUUGAUUCUAGCCAAGAAUAACUUCUCAAAGCACUUCAUCAUAGUAGAUUUGAGUCCCACUGGACGAUAGUUGUUGAGGCAACUCACCCUGCCCUGCUUGGGCUCUAGUUUAUUGUCACCCUUUGAAGCAGAUGGGAACCUCUGACUACAGCAGUCAGAGUUUGACGAUGUCCUUGAACUCUCCCACCAGAUGGUUGGCACUGGUUUUCAGAUCCCUAUCAUUAGGGCCUGAUACCUUGCAGGGACUCACCCCCUUGAAAACUGUUCUAACAUUAGCCUCCAAGACAGAGAUCACGGUCACCAGAUGCUGCAGGGAUUCGCACAGAUUCUCCCUUUCAAAACAUGUAUAAAAUUGGAGCAGAACUACUCUUAUUUGACUUUCCAAAGUGUGGCUGUGGGAUGGUAGGAUAAGUGUUUUGAUGGUGGUAUAAAAUUGGGCAAGUGUAUUGGUUCCCUUGGUUCGACAGCAAUCUUUCUCUGAGGUCAGCUUAUUUCCCAUUUGCCAGCAGGUUUGUCGAGAGUGUAAGUCUCAGAGCUCUGCAUUUAAAUCACACCUGUAGACCUGCACAGCAACCCUGAUUCCAUUUUCUUAAAGGGGAACUACACUCAUGACCCAAGUCUGCCAUUCAACAUUUCUCGAUUUUGAGUAUCAAUAAAUGUUUUAAAAUGGUACCCAUGGCUGCGACUAUGGAGUUCAAAUAGAAAUAUCUGAUGAUUUCUAUUGGAGCUGCACAUAAAGAAUCUUCACUUAACGGCACCAUCUUCUUGAAAAAAUGCUAACCUUUCAUCUAAGAGCGGUCUUUAAAGCCUAAUAGAGCGACCCUACCAAUAGGUGUGUUCUAACUCACUUUUGCCCUGAGGUAUUAAACAAAGCACUAUUGUCCAUGUACAUAAAGUAGCUUUACUGCUCCAACAUCUUUCCAAAGCCAGUGUAAUUUCCUCUUCCACCAUGAGUUGUGACCUAUUGGGAUAUAUUUCAUCAUUUACUUUCAAUCACAUUUUACUCCUUUUCACCACGUCUCUAAUACUGGACCACUGCAGCUUAAAAGUUUCUUCCCCAGGACGUUAAUAUGAUCACCCAUUUCAGUUAGCCCCCAACCCCACUCCCCUCUAACUAGUACUCCCACCACUGCACUGCACUGGAAACACUUAAAACCACUUCUUAUAAUGCUGCUUACAUUGUAAACACAUGCUGGUAUUUAUGUAUUUAUGCAUGCUAUUCCAUAUCUGUUCUUUAACCUUUAAUAUUUUAUAUAAACUUUUAUUCUUUAUAAUUGCUGAAUGAUGUUUUUGUUGCAUGCUAUGCCAACUUAUCACAGCAAAUUCCUAAUACAUGUAAAUGUAUAUGGUGAAUAAAUCUGAUCCUCGAUGACCAAACAUUCAAUUGUUUUUAAGCUACUGUAAAUGACUGAAGACUUAUUUUCUCUUCCGCUUUAUUUCACUAUGGCUUUAUGUAAGGACGAAUCUCCUGAUAAUGCAAAACAAAAUUACUGUUUAUAGUUACGAGUUGGUUUUUCUACUUCCAUACUUUCAAGCAAAAUUACUGCAGCAUUUCUGAUCUUCCUCUACUUUACUUGUGGCCAAGGCGAAUGAAGUGGAAGUCUUUAGGGUACAAAAUUUAACAAUGAAACUUGGGCUGCAGAAGAAAAUGUGGCCAUGCAUUCAAACAUUUCCGAUGUCAAAGUUGGAUCUCAUAAAUGAUAGCACAAUAGAAACACAUGUAACUCAUGGCAACAAAGGGAAACCUAAUGGAAAAAGUUAUAAAUAUGCAUGAUUCUCAUUUUCCUUGACGACAUUGGAUAUUGCUCUUCCGCUUUCAAUUUUGGAAUCAUUCUUUGUUAGAUACUGUAUUGAUAAUAAGAAUUCAAUAAUUAUUAUUCUCUGAAGAAUUUGUAAAAGAAAGCAAACUAUGGUAGUGGAUUACACUUCAUGUUAAAAUUUUGAUCUUUUGCGCAUUAGUAAUUACAUCAUUGACUACAUGAGUUUUGCUCCAAUUCCAGAGCACAUGGUACAAAGACUUAGUUUAUCACAAUUCAUGGUAGUAAACAAGUUUUAUAUCAUUAUCUUUGUUAUUCUUUAUCUCUGGACGAAUGCUCACUCUCUUUCCCCAGGCAACUGCAUUUACCUCGUUUUAAGUGUAAACCAGUGCACUUAUUUUGACCACAAUCAUUAAAUCAUGUUUCACAUGCUUAGAGAGAGUUGGUGUAGGUAGGCCAUUUGACUCAGAAAGCAUCAUCCCACAGUUUUCCCAACCUGACCACAUAAUUACACAAUCCAGCAUAUUCCUGGAUAGCUAACCAGAGCAGAAACAUUGAUUAGUUUUCUAAAUUUCUCACCAACCCAAAUGGGAUUUCUUUUUCACACUCUCUCCUGUAAUCAGCAAAUGCAGCAUAAUCCAAUCACUUUUUUUCCCCAUGUGGAUUUACACUAUAGAAGGAGCUGUUUCUAAAAAGCAUAUUUUAAUAAAGAACUACUCUGUAUAUAGUAAAUCAUAUUACAAACAGACAGUAUUCCAAUUAAACUGAGUGACUUCAUAAUGGGUGGUGGGGUGGAGAUAUGACCCUACCCCUCCUUUUAUGGUCCAUAGUCCAAGAAAUGAAAGCCAGCAUUCCUGAGCAUUUGCUACACUUGUAUACUAGCUUUUAUAUUUCAAUAGUUUGUUCAUUCAUUAUGUGCUGUGAGGAGAUGCAUCUCUACCAAAGGAGGUGUAAGGUGCUCCUCCUCUCCACUAGCCUGCAAGUCACCCUUGGGCAAAGUGUAUCACUUGCUUAGCCCCCAAUCAGGGUCACGUGGGUGGUCAUAUGAGCAGCUGGUGAUGAGACCACCAAUGCCAGGCUUACAAUCUCUAAAGAGUAGUGGCAAUGGCCGGGGUGGCCUGUCUAGUGAAGACACCACCCAGAAGAGGGCAAUGGCAAACAACUUCUGUAGAAAAAUUUACUGACAACAAUCGUGGGUCAUGUAAAGCCCAUGAUCACCAACGUCAUACAACACGGCACAUAACAAAUGAACAAUGUCAUAAACUGCACAUUUGCCAAAGGAUGAUGUUUUAUUAGAAUGCUGAUGUUAGAUUACUGGCUUUCAAUCUCUUUGUUUAUCAUUGAUGUGGUUUACUCUAUUGCUUAUGCUAAUACAGGAUAGUUUUGCUUAAGUCAUUAAACUGGCUUGUUUCCCAGUUUUUACCUGUUAUUCCUUGCCUUGA